CUUUAUCUGGUGUUAGCUAGAAUUUAAUGCUAAUGUUAAUGUAAAGACGGCCCGUUAGCAAGCCUAUGCUAGCAGGAUACUUUCCACGUAUAAGUUAGCCGUUCAGUACACUUUGGCUUUGCUUGAGCGUGUUCUCUAUCAGUCUAAUAGUUAAACCUGCUCAAUCCAGGAAAAAUCGCUAUGCCUGAAAUUGUAAUUUAUCAUCUGUUGGAUGUGUAGUCUUGUAGAUUAAAGGAACGACGCGGAAGUUAGCAUCCGGUUCAUAGCCUUCGAUUCGGCCGCAGAUGGUGAAGGGCUGUCUGAGGGCAUCAGGCCAGAGAGCAGUGAACAAGAGUAUGGGAUCCCAUGCACUGAUACUCUUGGGUGUGUUGUGAGAAGGACCGACGGUGCUCAGGGCUCCCAGUCACUCCAACCAGCCACAAGUUGGUCAGAUACCAAUGUACAGUAUCCAUCCAUCCAUUUUCUACCACUUAUGUGGGGGCAGGUCGCAGUGGCAGCAGGUUCAGUAAGGUAGUCCAGACGUCCCUCUCCCCAGUGACGUGUUCCAGCUCCUCUGGCAGGAUUCUGAGGAGUUUCCAGGCCAGAGGAGAAAUAUAAUCUUUCCAGUGUGCUCUGGGUCUGCCCUGGGGUCUCCUGCCAGAUGAACAUGCCUGGAAGACCCCCAAAGGAGGCGCCGUGGAGCCAUCCUGACAAGAUGCCCAAACCACCUCAACUGGCUCCUUUCUAUGGGAAGGAGCAGCGGUUCUACCGAGUCCCUUCCGGAUGACCGAGCUCUGCACCCUAUCUCUAAGGGAGUGAGUGGACCAAGGAGCUGAGAAUAUGGACCUUCCAGGCUGUGGUAGGGGAAGCUUAAUCUCAGGAGAACAGCACCUCCAGCCCAAAGUUAAAUAUAGAGGGUUUGUGGCAUCAUGGAUGGACUGAAGUGUCUAUGGUGAUGUGCGCCACAGCCUCCAGAUUGUUAGAUCAACAAAUUGCACUCAUCUCUUCUGUGCUUUUUUUUGCCUCAAAUCCAACCUCACUGAGGGAGGGAACAACCCUUCCCUCCAAACAGAAAGCUACUCCACCACAAACCAGCUGUGGGACACUGGGAAGACAGACUCUUGUCAACCCUCCUGAGAACACUAAGGGAGACCAGUUGCAGACAUGGAUCAUGCUGGAGUACACUGAAGAACUGGAAGCCCUGAUCAAGCCCCUCCAUCUAAAAAGUUCAACUGCAGACAGCUUUAAAGGCUUUAUUACAGUAAAUGGUAACAUGUACCACUCUACAGAACCAGAAGACAUCAUCACCAAGCCUGUCUUAAUGGCAUUUUAAGUACUUUUUGGACAAAUAUGAGUAGUUGCACUGCUGUAAUAUGUAGAUUUCUGGCUCUUAGCAACUGUCUGCAGUGAGGAAGGACAUGAGGCAGAAUGGACAAAACCCAAGCAAUGAUGACCUCUGUUGGAGUUAAG